AUGUACCAGACGGAGAUCACAGAGCGCUUCAUUUUCCAUCCACAGAUCCAGAUCACUAAGAAGUUUCCCCCCAGCCCCACCACAGAUGUGAGAAUAUUAACUCCAACCAGGACAGAGGUCAGAGAUGAGGUGGAUCUGCUGAAGAGGACGGGUCCAGAUGUGAAGCUCUCACCUUUUCGUCUGCGUUGAACCCAGUCCUCCUCUCAGAGCUUCUGACCCAGUGUUGAUGUCUGUGUUCAACUUCUCACUUUUACUUCCUGGGUGGUGUCACUGCUGAGACGAGCACAAACACAAAAAGGAGGAUUUAACGGGAAAAAAAACAGAUCUUCAACUGCCUUAAAGACCCAGACGGUGUUUGGUGUUUGAAAACAAGACCCCAGUGUCUACGGUGACUGAGCUAAGGGACUUUUAAAGGAGUAUUUCAAAACACAAGUCUGUUGUAAUCACCUGAAGGGAAGGGAAGGGAAACCCCCCCCUCCCUCCUUCUGACGUCCAAACUACCCACUCAUAUUGACCUUAACCAGGGAUGGAUGGAUGGAAGGAAGGAUGGAAGAAGGAAGGAGAACAUUCCCUGUGGCUGUAGUUGGAAAGUAACAAACAACAAAAAUACACCAUUAAACCAAAAAUAUGACAUACAAAGGCUUUAAAGGUGCGGGAGACUUUUGUGAUGAAAUUUUCAUCAAAUCUGUAAAACCUCAGUCAUAGCCUAAGUAUCACGAAUCUGUAAGUCCCUCUGUGAUUACUCACCUGAAUCUUUUGCAUUAUGAUGAACAAUUUCAAAGUGCCAUCCACCAUAAACAAACCCCAUGUGUUUCAGUGGCAGCUGCUCGUCUUUCAGAGAGGGGAAGCUCAUUGUUGGCUUACAUAAAAAAAUAUGUCAAGUUAUUCAAACAUAAAUUCAGCCCUCCGUUCCUUUUCAAGAAAAUGGUCGUAUCGUACCAAGUAAAUAAAAAAAUGUUGAAAUUAUGUUAAAUUGAAACAAGGAAGUACAAUGAGUGUGUUUUAUUUACAGUGCAAGAAAUGAACAAGUAAUUUUGUAGUAGUUUCUCUCUCGAUUUCACAGCAGAAUGU
rnacentral:lncRNA from 1 species